UCCCAGAUGGCUCAGAGUUAAAGAAUCUGCCUGCCAGUGCAGGAAACAUAGGUUCAAUCCCUGAUCUGGGAA
rnacentral:tRNA from 1 species